rnacentral:rRNA from 1 species
UGGAGAGUUUGAUCCUGGCUCAGAACGAACGCUGGCGGCAUGCCUAACACAUGCAAGUCGAACGAAGCCUUCGGGCUUAGUGGCGCACGGGUGCGUAACGCGUGGGAAUCUGCCUCUUGCUUCGGAAUAACAGUUAGAAAUGACUGCUAAUACCGGAUGAUGUCCCCCUGAGAGAUCUUGGGGACCAAAGAUUUAUCGGCAAGAGAUGAGCCCGCGUAGGAUUAGGUAGUUGGUGGGGUAAAGGCCUACCAAGCCGACGAUCCUUAGCUGGUCUGAGAGGAUGAUCAGCCACACUGGGACUGAGACACGGCCCAGACUCCUACGGGAGGCAGCAGUGGGGAAUAUUGGACAAUGGACGCAAGUCUGAUCCAGCAAUGCCGCGUGAGUGAUGAAGGCCUUAGGGUUGUAAAGCUCUUUUACCAGGGAUGAUAAUGACAGUACCUGGAGAAUAAGCUCCGGCUAACUCCGUGCCAGCAGCCGCGGUA